rnacentral:rRNA from 1 species
UACGUAGGGUGCGAGCGUUAAUCGGAAUUACUGGGCGUAAAGCGUGCGCAGGCGGUGAUGUAAGACAGGUGUGAAAUCCCGGGGCUCAACCUCGGAACUGCAUUUGUGACUGCAUCGCUGGAGUGCGGCAGAGGGGGAUGGAAUUCCGCGUGUAGCAGUGAAAUGCGUAGAUAUGCGGAGGAACACCGAUGGCGAAGGCGAUCAUCUGGGGUUGUUCUGACACUGAGGAGCGAAAGCUAGGGGAGCAAACGGG